rnacentral:misc_RNA from 1 species
AUUCAUUCUUACGAUCUGGCAGAGCUGCUGCGGACCAAUUUUGGCCAGCGGCAACCCUUCCCCCUGUUUUACUUCUUGUUUUAUCUAAUUUAUAGUUUUAUAUAUCUUUUUUCUCUUAGUUUAGUAGGAAUUUUCUUUCCUUUGUGCUUCCAUUUGAAGCUUCUUCUGUACUUCAGUGGGCUUCUGUUCUCUUUCAAUAGGAAGGUUUUCACUCUCUUUCUAAAUUUGGUGGAAAGAGAUCUACUCGCAUGUCUUUAGACUGCAACGGCACAAAUGGUGGAUCUUGGCAAGGUUUACUCAUGGAUCAAG